CCAUUUAGUGGGGAAUAACUGUUGGAAACGACAGCUAAUACCGCAUAAUAUUGCUGGAUAAUUUCCAGUAAUGAAAGGAGCUUUCAAGCUCCGCUGAUUGAUGAGGAUGCGGCGCAUUAGCUAGUUGGUAGGGUAAUGGCCUACCAAGGCAAUGAUGCGUAGCCGAUCUGAGAGGAUGAACGGCCACAUUGGGACUGAGACACGGCCCAAACUUCUACGGAAGGCAGCAGUAGGGAAUUUUUCACAAUGGGCGAAAGCCUGAUGGAGCAAUGCCGCGUGACUGAUGAAGGUCUUCGGAUUGUAAAGGUCUGUUGUAAGGGAAGAUAUGGUAAAACAGGAAAUGGUUUUAUCUAUGACGGUACCUUACCAGAAAGCCACGGCUAACUAUGUGCCAGCAGCCGCGGUAAUACAUAGGUGGCAAGCGUUAUCCGGAUUUAUUGGGCGUAAAGGGUGCGUAGACGGUUUUGCAAGUCUGAGGUUAAAUUUAGGAGCUCAACUCCUAAUCGCCUUGGAAACUACAAGACUAGAGUAUAGGAGAGGUUAGUGGAAUUCCAUGUGUAGCGGUGGAAUGUGUAGAUAUAUGGAGGAACACCAGUGGC
rnacentral:rRNA from 1 species